rnacentral:rRNA from 1 species
GACGAACGCUGGCGGCGUGCUUAACACAUGCAAGUCGAGCGGUAAGGCCCUUUCGGGGGUACACGAGCGGCGAACGGGUGAGUAACACGUGGGUGACCUGCCCUUAGCUCUGGGAUAAGCCUGGGAAACUGGGUCUAAUACCGGAUAUGACCUCAUGACUCAUGUUGUGGGGUGGAAAGCCUUGUGCGGCUAGGGAUGGGCCCGCGGCCUAUCAGCUUGUUGGUGGGGUAAUUGCCUACCAAGGCGACGACGGGUAGCCGGCCUGAGAGGGCGACCGGCCACACUGGGACUGAGACACGGCCCAGACUCCUACGGGAGGCAGCAGUGGGGAAUCUUGCGCAAUGGGCGAAAGCCUGACGCAGCGACGCCGCGUGAGGGAUGACGGCCUGGU